GGACGAACGCUGGCGGCGUGCCUAACACAUGCAAGUCGAGCGGAGUUAACAAGAGGAAGUUUCGGAUGGAAUUUGUAAUUAGCGGCGGACGGGUGAGUAACGCGUGAGCGACCAACCUUGCACAGGGGGAUAACGGACCGAAAGGUUCACUAAUACCGCAUGAGACCACGGUGUUGCAUGACACAGAGGUCAAAGGAGCAAUCCGGUGCAAGACGGGCUCGCGUCCGAUUAGGUAGUUGGUGGGGUAAUGGCCCACCAAGCCUAUGAUCGGUAGCCGACCUGAGAGGGUGAUCGGCCACAUUGGAACUGAGAUACGGUCCAAACUCCUACGGGAGGCAGCAGUGGGGAAUAUUGGGCAAAUGGGGGAAACCCUGACCCAGCAACGCCGCGUGAAGGAAGAAGGUUUUCGGAUUGUAAACUUCUGUCCUUGGUGAAGAGAAGAAGACGGUAGCCAAGGAGGAAGCCCCGGCUAACUACGUGCCAGCAGCCGC
rnacentral:rRNA from 1 species